AGUGAACGCUGGCGGUAGGCCUAACACAUGCAAGUCGAACGGCAGCACAGUAAGAGCUUGCUCUUACGGGUGGCGAGUGGCGGACGGGUGAGGAAUACAUCGGAAUCUACUUUUUCGGGGGGGAUAACGUAGGGAAACUUACGCUAAUACCGCAUACGACCUACGGGUGAAAGCAGGGGAACUUCGGACCUUGCGCGAUUGAAUGAGCCGAUGUCGGAUUAGCUAGUUGGCGGGGUAAAGGCCCACCAAGGCGACGAUCCGUAGCUGGUCUGAGAGGAUGAUCAGCCACACUGGAACUGAGACACGGUCCAGACUCCUACGGGAGGCAGCAGUGGGGAAUAUUGGACAAUGGGCGCAAGCCUGAUCCAGCCAUACCGCGUGGGUGAAGAAGGCCUUCGGGUUGUAAAGCCCUUUUGUUGGGAAAGAAAAGCAGCAGGUUAAUACCCCGCUGUUCUGACGGUACCCAAAGAAUAAGCACCGGCUAACUUCGUG
rnacentral:rRNA from 1 species